rnacentral:tRNA from 1 species
GCGAGCGUAGCCAAGUGGUUAAGGCACCGGAUUGUGGUUCCGGCAUUCGUGGGUUCAAGUCCCAUCGUUCGCCCUA